rnacentral:lncRNA from 1 species
GUGAUGGUAUCAGGAAGUAAAGCUUCUCUACCUGCAGAAGAUUACUGGCAUUCUAAGUUGCCUAACACUCCAAUACCUCAAGAACUCCUAAAACUCUUGCACCCUGCAGGUUCCUGUCAACCUCUAACACCUUUUAUUUUUUAUUUAUUAUUAUCAUUGAAAUUAGAAUUAUUAUUUAACUAAAGAUUAUUUAUUAACUAAUAUAUUAAUAUAAAUUAGAAUACUAAUAAUUAACACAUUAUCAGUUAAAAUAAAAGUAAGAAUUAUUAAGAUUACCCAUCAACAAUAUUAACGUGGCAAGAUCUUUUUAAUACAAAUUAGAAAUUUUUAUGGAAUAAUAUUUCAUUUACUGUAUAGAAAACAUAAUAAAUAUUAAAAUAUGGUCAAUAAAUUAACAACUAAAGACAUAAUUAUUGGGUUU